rnacentral:rRNA from 1 species
GACGAACGCUGGCGGCGUGCUUAACACAUGCAAGUCGAACGGAAAGGCCCUGCUUUUGUGGGGUGCUCGAGUGGCGAACGGGUGAGUAACACGUGAGUAACCUGCCCUUGACUUUGGGAUAACUUCAGGAAACUGGGGCUAAUACCGGAUAGGAGCUCCUGCUGCAUGGUGGGGGUUGGAAAGUUACGGCGGUUGGGGAUGGAUUCGCGGCUUAUCAGCUUGUUGGUGGGGUAGUGGCUUACCAAGGCUUUGACGGGUAGCCGGCCUGAGAGGGUGACCGGCCACAUUGGGACUGAGAUACGGCGCAGACUCCUACGGGAGGCAGCAGUGGGGAAUAUUGCACAAUGGGCGGAAGCCUGAUGCAGCAACGCCGCGUGCGGGAUGACGGCCUUCGGGUUGUAAACCGCUUUCGCCUGUGACGAAGCGUGAGUGACGGUAAUGGGUAAAGAAGCACCGGCUAACUACGUG